GGUGAGUCGGGACAGCCUUCUUCCUCCGCCCAGCCGCCACAGUGAUUGUGGUCAAGUCUGCUACAGGAGGAUUUUAUUUUGGUUAACCUGCUUUUCUCCUUCGCAGGUUGUUUAUCGAUAUUUGUGUAAUUUUAUUUACUCCUAGAAUUUUCGCAUGUGUUAGAAGUAUUUAUUUGAUUAUGGUCUGUAAUAUUAUUAUCAUGUUGGACCUGUAAACGUAUAAUGAUAUGCAUGUUUGAUGGAUUGGAUGAGGGAGCUGAGCUCCCAUUUAUUUUUAUGAGGAUAUGAGUAUGUGGAGGGUGAGCUGAGCUCCCCAAUUGAGUA